UUGCUUAACAAGGAAAUUGCCAUUGAAACUGUUAGACUUGAGAAUGGACGAGGUAGGCGGAAUUCGUAGUGUAGCGGUGAAAUGCAUAGAUAUUACGAAGAACUCCAAUAGUGUAGACUGCUUACCAGACCAUAUCUGACACUAAGGCACGAAAGUGUGGGUAUCAAACAGGAUUAGAUACCCUGGUAGUCCACACAGUAAACGAUGAAUACUAACUGUUUGCGAUAUACAGCAAGUGGUCGAGCGAAAGCGUUAAGUAUUCCACCUGGGAAGUAUGCCGGCAACGGUGAAACUCAAAGGAAUUGACGGGGGCCCGCACAAGCGGAGGAACAUGUGGUUUAAUUCGAUAAUACGCGAGGAACCUUACCCGGGCUCGAACGAUAUUUGAAUACAUCCGAAAAGAUGUAGCUAGCAAUAGCAAAUACCGAGGUGCUGCAUGGUUGUCGUCAGCUCGUGCCGUGAGGUGUCGACUUAAGUGUCAUAACGAGCGCAACCCUUACCGAUAGUUACCAUCAGAUAAUGCUGGGGACUCUAUUGGGACUGCCACCGUAAGGUGUGAGGAAGGAGAGGAUGACGUCAAAUCAGCACGGCCCUUAUGUCCGGGGCGACACACGUGUUACAAUGGGAGAAACAAAGGGUCGCUACCUGGCAACAGGAUGCUAAUCUCGAAAAUCUCUCUCAGUUCGGAUUGGAGUCUGCAACUCGACUCCAUGAAGCUGGAUUCGCUAGUAAUCGCACAUCAGCCAUGGUGCGGUGAAUACGUUCCCGGGCCUUGUACACACCGCCCGUCAAGCCAUGGAAGCUGGAAGUACCUGAAGUAUGUAACUGAAAAGAGCGUCCU
rnacentral:rRNA from 1 species